rnacentral:misc_RNA from 1 species
GGAAGAUGAAUUUUGGUCUGACAUUGAAGAAAUUUGAGAGAGAGAGAGAGAAAAUAAGAAAGAGUGUACCAUGAGCGAGGUAAAUAUCGGAAUUACUUGUUAGUCCUUGUUUGGAUGAUUAAGGGCUUUUGACUAUUGAUUGAAGUCUACGGCCCAAAAGAAAACGAUCCAGCCUUAGUCUAAAAAUAACCUAUCCCGUGGCGAUAGAGAAA